rnacentral:rRNA from 1 species
AACGAACGCUGGCGGCAGGCCUAACACAUGCAAGUCGAACGCCCCGCAAGGGGAGGUGGCAGACGGGUGAGUAACGCGUGGGAACGUACCCUUCGGUUCGGAAUAACCCGGGGAAACGUCGGGCUAAUACCGGAUACGUCCGCAAGGAGAAAGAUUUAUCGCCGAAGGAUCGGCCCGCGUCGGAUUAGCUAGUUGGUGGGGUAAUGGCCCACCAAGGCGACGAUCCGUAGCUGGUCUGAGAGGAUGAUCAGCCACACUGGGACUGAGACACGGCCCAGACUCCUACGGGAGGCAGCAGUGGGGAAGUAUUGGACAAUGGGCGAAAGCCUGAUCCAGCCAUGCCGCGUGAGUGAAGGAGGCCUUAGGGUUGUAAAGCUCUUUUCAGCGGGGAAGAUAAUGACGGUACCCGCAGAAGAAGCCCCGGCUAACUUCGUGCCAGCCGCCCGCCGU